UCCUCCUCAUUCCCUUCUUCUGCUCCUCACAUCUCCUCCCCUCUUCGUCUGCCCUCUUCUGACGGUAGGCUGCUUUCGAACUUCCCUUCCGAGUCCGUUGCGGCCGUAGUCUUCCAGGAGCGUCCCGUUGGGAAGCUCAAGGCGCUGGACUUUGUUGGGUCCGAAUCGUUCCGUCAGUUAUUAGUUUUACCAUCUUCCGACGACAGGCGCCUUUUGAACUUCCCAUUUGAGUUCAUCGCCACACCGCAGGCUUUCGGGAGGUUCCUGUUGCGGAGCUCAAGGCGCUGGGCUUUGUUGGGUCCAGAUUGGGUCUUACUUUCCGUCGUUAGAACGGAGACCGCUCCAUCCCUCCUCACAUUUGUUUUACCGCGAAAUAGUACUCAAAACCCUCAAAAACAUCAAAACAGAGAGAAUCGAUAAGUUGUACUCACAGAGGACCUGAGCAGCAUCGCUUGUCUGAUCCAAGAAAACAAGUGAAGCACAAAUCUCAAUAGAAUGGAAGGAGAAAGAUCGAGUCCGAUCCAAGAAAACAAGUGAACAAUGACAUAUCUCCAAAGAAUGGGAGGAGUGGAUCGAGAGAGAAUCGAGAAG